rnacentral:rRNA from 1 species
ACGAUGAAGCCCAGCUUGCUGGGUGGAUUAGUGGCGAACGGGUGAGUAACACGUGAGUAACCUGCCCCCGACUUUGGGAUAAGCCCGGGAAACUGGGUCUAAUACCGGAUAUGACUUUCCACCGCAUGGUGGGUUGUUGAAAGAUUUAUCGGUGGGGGAUGGACUCGCGGCCUAUCAGCUUGUUGGUGAGGUAAUGGCUCACCAAGGCGACGACGGGUAGCCGGCCUGAGAGGGUGACCGGCCACACUGGGACUGAGACACGGCCCAGACUCCUACGGGAGGCAGCAGUGGGGAAUAUUGCACAAUGGGCGGAAGCCUGAUGCAGCGACGCCGCGUGAGGGAUGACGGCCUUCGGGUUGUAAACCUCUUUCAGUAGGGAAGAAGCGAAAGUGACGGUACCUGCAUAA